UUCGCCUUUUUUUUCUUUCUGUGUGCGCUUGUCGCCCAUACGAUUAUUAGGGACAAUCGACGCCCGAGCUAGGGCAUCAAAUGACAACUUCACCGGUCGUGUUUCCUGUCGCAGUUUCGCUCAAGUUAUCACCUAACUUCCCCUCCCUCCUGCUCAUGUGGCCGAAACCCUCACAGUAUAGUCAUGCUUAGUGCUAGCCAGGAAAGCAGCGACAUGAUCGUGACGUGUAGCGACAACUACCUUCCUCCUUCCGGCCGUUCCUACCCGAAACCCUUGAGGAAGGUGAUAACUGAGGAAGAAACUUCUACAUGCCCCCGUGAUUGAACAGAACGGGAUUGCAGGUAGUUUAAGUGGGUUGAUGAAGUUGAUCAAACACCAGACAAUGUUGACAUUGAUCUUGACAGAGGGCAUAAAUAUGUGGCAUCUACUCUAUUCAAUUUGAACGAAUGACCAUCCGAACACACUGAUGCACGUACCCUUCAAGGACAUCCUCAAAGUGCAGAAAUGACUAUAAUUCAACUUUUGUCACUAGCUUUAAUCUUCUUUGCAAAAUCAUUCAAAUUUUCUUUAGUGUCAAUGGCUUGCUUGACAGUAGUAGAAUCCUGAAAAAGUGAGUCACUGAUAAGGAUUUGUUAUCUCCACUUUCAGAUAUAAAAUAACAUCAUCAAAAACUUCAAAUGCAUUGUUACUAUUGCCUUCACCAUCAAAUGUUGAAUGACACAACUCCAACACCUGACUGUUAUUCUCACUCUCUCUAUUAAGCAAAUACAUAAGAUCUUUAAUGCUAUUUGUUCUAUAAUCACCACCUACUUUACUUUAUCCAUUAGAAUGAUUGAUCAUUUCCAAUAUAUCAACAUCAGUUACUAUUGGCUUGUGGAUUUUAGGUGAAGUAUUGCAUACAUGGCAGCGCAAUUCAAAAUCAUGACCUUUUAGCCAUAGACAAAUCUAUUUUGCCUCUUCUCUAAGUACAAAACAUUUAAUUUUGUCAUUCUCCAGUUCCACGGUCCUCUGAUUCACACCUUCGUACUUUCUUCUAUUUUGACUUUUAAUUUUGAUCUAAUAUCCACCAAAUUUAUAAAUAAUGAAGUUGCUCACAUUUACAUCCAUUAAAUCCAUUUCUAAAAAAGUUGCAAUGACAAAAAAUAAAUUACAUCAGAAUUUGUGCUUGGAAGGGAGUAAGAGUGGUUGUGAAAGCAAAUCAUGUCUCCAUGAUAUCAAUAGGUGCACAGAAGAUGUAAAACAUCACAACUAUAGUUCUUCAUAGAUAUUGCAUCCAAAUUUUUUUUUUCUUGGAAGCCAUGUCAAAGUACACUGUUAUGUCUUACUUUUUCUCCUUCCUUGCACCACAAAAAUUUGGAAAAUUUACACACAUACACUCAAUUUAUUCAUAUGUAUAACAACUAAACCUCAAUUUUUUACAUACAUAACACCUUACUUAUGCAUGAUUUGGGGAGUACGCAUGUAAAUGCAUCUUUUCAGCUUGGCAGCACUUGUGUUAAUGAUGUGUUAAAUUUUUCGGCCAAACUAUAGGUAAAUGUUCUGCCCUAAAUGUUCUCGCCCCUAAUGUUCUUCCAUGUCAUAUUCCACCUUUAAAAAUUCCUAUAGACUGAGGGUCCCGGGAGGUAGGAAUUGAAGUGCAUACUAAAAUACUGAUUAAA